rnacentral:lncRNA from 8 species
GAAACAGUCCCGCAGAUACAGCGUCUCAACUUGGAUCAUUAAAUAUGAUUGGCCUCAAGUACAACAUGUCUCUACCCAUGGCUGCAGGGGCCUUGUUAGUGGGCAUCCCCUACUCCAUCUCUCUCGUAGCCCAGUGGAUGUAUGGCUGGCCUAACAAGCCAGGCUAUAAAAAGUACAUCGAGGCUCUGAAGCCAAGGCGGAUAUACUGUCUGACUAGAGCUGUGCUGGAGAUGCUGAAAUACUUCCAGUACGGCAAACUCUACUUCCAGUGGAAGUCCUGGUACAAGAAUGUAGAAAACCACAAGCAUUAUGAAAAGGGCAUCAGGUUUGGGCGUCGUAGCAACAAGCUGGAUUUGUAUUAUUCUCCCACGGUGGGCCAGCCAGGCAGUGGACCGGUGCCUGUGGUAGUGUUUAUAUACGGGGGAGCCUGGGGUUCAGGGGAGAGGUCCAUAUACUGUCUACUGGCCAUGCAGAUGGCUAAGGAGCUCAGGGCAACGGUGAUCUGCCCCGACUAUUGCACCUAUCCAAAGGGUAAUGUUUUGUGUAUGGUUCAAGAUAUUGCGGACUGUCUCAUUUGGGCGAGGGACAGCGGCCAUAAAUUCAACUUUGACAAAGAUAACAUUGUGUUAAUCGGCCACUCCGCUGGGGCUCACCUAGCAGCUCUAACCGUCCUGUUCAUGGUCGAGGGACGAGACGAGCUCUUUAUAGAUGCCAAGAAGCAGACAGAGAUCACCAUGGCAAUCAGAGGAGUUACAGGUUUGAGUGGAGUGUACAACAUCAUGGACCACUACGAACAUGAACAGAUGAGAGCUGUGGAGUAUGUCUCUACGAUGCACAAAGCCAUGAACGGAGUGGAGAACUUCCCUUAUUACUCACCAACACACCUACUGAAGAAAUUCAGCAAGGCACAACUGAAAAGAGUGCCACCUUUCUGCUUGCUUCACGGGACCAACGACAUCAUAGUUCCGAUGGAAUCUUCCCAGAGGUUUUCUGAGCUGCUCACGUCCCUGUCAAUCAAGGUGUCCCUGUACCUCAUGCCUAAAAUGGACCACACAGAGAUAGUCACCGAUCUCAUGACGACAGACAGGCACUUCUACAAAACAGUGUACAGCUGCAUCAAACAGGAGUACAGCAAGUUCAUAGGCCAGAUGCACAAAACUUGUCCGACCUGGAUGAGUAUGAAGUUACUGAACCAAAUGAACCUAAGCAUGAACCACAAGACCCUUUGGUAUCUUAUAAUCAAAUCAAAGUUUAUUGGUUGCGUACAGAGAUUUGCAGAUGAUAUUGCAAGUGAAGUGAAAUCCUUGUGUUUCUAG